AGCGUGCAGGAAGAAGGCCCUACGGUUGUAAACUGCUUUUGUCAGGGAAUAAACCCUUGGAUUUACUCCGAGGCUGAAGGUACCUGAAGAAUAAGCACCGGCUAACUCCGUGCCAGCAGCCGCGGUAAUACGGAGGGUGCGAGCGUUAUCCGGAAUUACUGGGUUUAAAGGGUGCGUAGGCGGCGCCGUAAGUCAGGAGUGAAAGUUUGCGGCUCAACCGUAAAAUUGCUUUUGAUACUGCGGUGCUAGAAUUAGGAUGAGGUCAGCGGAAUGUGGCAUGUAGCGGUGAAAUGCAUAGAUAUGCCAUAGAACACCAAUUGCGAAGGCAGCUGGCUAGACCUGGAUUGACGCUGAGGCACGAAAGCGUGGGGAGCGAACAGGAUUAGAUACCCUGGUAGUCCACGCCCUAAACGAUGCUCACUCGACGUAUGAAGCUAGACUUUGUGCGUCCAAGGGAAACCGUUAAGUGAGCCACCUGGGGAGUACGACCGCAAGGUUG
rnacentral:rRNA from 1 species